rnacentral:rRNA from 1 species
AUUGAACGCUGGCGGCAGGCCUAACACAUGCAAGUCGAACGGUAACAGGAAGCAGCUUGCUGCUUUGCUGACGAGUGGCGGACGGGUGAGUAAUGUCUGGGAAACUGCCUGAUGGAGGGGGAUAACUACUGGAAACGGUAGCUAAUACCGCAUAACGUCGCAAGACCAAAGAGGGGGACCUUCGGGCCUCUUGCCAUCGGAUGUGCCCAGAUGGGAUUAGCUAGUAGGUGGGGUAACGGCUCACCUAGGCGACGAUCCCUAGCUGGUCUGAGAGGAUGACCAGCCACACUGGAACUGAGACACGGUCCAGACUCCUACGGGAGGCAGCAGUGGGGAAUAUCGCACAAUGGGCGCAAGCCUGAUGCAGCCAUGCCGCGUGUAUGAAGAAGGCCUUCGGGUUGUAAAGUACUUUCAGCGGGGAGGAAGGGAGUAAAGUUAAUACCUUUGCUCAUUGACGUUACCCGCAGAAGAAGCACCGGCUAACUCCGUG